rnacentral:rRNA from 1 species
UACGUAGGGUGCAAGCGUUAAUCGGAAUUACUGGGCGUAAAGCGUGCGCAGGCGGUGAUGUAAGACAGGUGUGAAAUCCCCGGGCUUAACCUGGGAACUGCAUUUGUGACUGCAUCGCUGGAGUGCGGCAGAGGGGAUGGAAUUCCGCGUGUAGCAGUGAAAUGCGUAGAUAUGCGGAGGAACACCGAUGGCGAAGGCAAUCCCCUGGGCCUGCACUGACGCUCAUGCACGAAAGCGUGGGAGCAAACAGG